rnacentral:rRNA from 1 species
CCUUUCUGGUAAUUCCCAGUCACCACAGCAACCUAAGGGUGCCCCAACCCAGAAACUAAGCAUAGGUGGGCCUGGCUGGCGUUUGGAUGGGGAACUGCAUUGAAAGACCAGGCC